rnacentral:snRNA from 1 species
GUGUAGGAGAGAAGGUUAGCACUCUCCUUGAGAAGGAUGGAAGAGGUCCUAGUGGCCUUUACAACACAUAUAUGGUUAAAGCAUUGCCACCUACUUAGUGUGAAAAGCAGCGUGGCUC